AAUAGAUACCCGGGUAGUCCACGCCGUAAACGAUGAGUGCUAAGUGUUAGAGGGUUUCCGCCCUUUAGUGCUGCAGCUAACGCAUUAAGCACUCCGCCUGGGGAGUACGGCCGCAAGGCUGAAACUCAAAGGAAUUGACGGGGGGUCCCGCGACAAGCGGUGGAGCAUGUGGUUUAAUUCGAAGCAACGCGAAGAACCUUACCAGGUCUUGACAUCCUCUGCCAACCCUAGAGAUAGGGGCGUUCCCCUUCGGGGGGACAGAGUGACAGGUGGUGCAUGGUUGUCGUCAGCUCGUGUCGUGAGAUGUUGGGUUAAGUCCCGCAACGAGCGCAACCCUUGAUCUUAGUUGCCAGCAUUCAGUUGGGCACUCUAAGGUGACUGCCGGUGACAAACCGGAGGAAGGUGGGGAUGACGUCAAAUCAUCAUGCCCCUUAUGACCCUGGGGCUACACACGUGCUACAAUGGAUGGUACAAAGAGCUGCGAACCCGCGAGGGUAAGCGAAUCUCAUAAAGCCAUUCUCAGUUCGGA
rnacentral:rRNA from 1 species